rnacentral:rRNA from 1 species
AUUGAACGCUGGCGGCAGGCCUAACACAUGCAAGUCGAGCGGAGCGGCGGACGGGUGAGUAAUGCCUAGGAAUCUGCCUGGUAGUGGGGGAUAACGUCCGGAAACGCGCGCUAAUACCGCAUACUAGCAGAUGAGCCUAGGUCGGAUUAGCUAGUUGGUGGGGUAAAGGCCUAACAAGGCGACGAUCCGUAACUGGUCUGAGAGGAUGCUCAGUCACACUGGAAAUGACACACGGUCCAGACUCCUACGGGAGGCAGAAGUGGGGAAUAGUGGAAAAUGGGCGAAAGCCUGAUCCAGCCAUGCCGCGUGGGGGAAGAAGGUCUUCGGAUUGUAAGGCGCUUUAAGUUGGGAGGCGUUACCAACAGAAUAAGCACCGGCUAACUUCGUGACAGCAGCCGCGGUAAUAC